GCGAGCUGGCUAGAUGGCUUCGCCUUCGCCUCAAAACGAAGGUGAGGAAGCUCCGUCCACUUUAAGGUUGCCUCUGUCGAGGGGGCCGGGCGAGAGUCCGGCGCCGAUAUCAGAGACGAUGCCCGCGGCUCCCGCCAACGAUGCGGCUCCGGCCGAGUUGGGAACGCGCGGGGUGAAACGGAUCGGCGCACCUGAUGGGGUGCAAGCGUUACGCGCUCAGACAAAUGCCAUCUCGAAAACCUAAGACGGGCUAUUGCCAGCACGC
rnacentral:RNase_P_RNA from 1 species